AGCGGCGAAGGGGAGAGUAACGAGUAGUUAUCUACCCCAAGGCCCGGAAUAGCUGCGGGAAACUGCAGGUAAUGCCGGAUAAUAUCCCCGGAUCAAAGGUGUUGAUUCCGGCCUGUGGNGGAGGAGACUGGCUGUUGUAACUAGACUNGUGUGUGGGUAAGGGUAAAUUGGCCUAACCAAAGGCUAACGAAUGCAAUAAGCGGGCGUGAAGAAGCGUGGCCGCGUCUCAACGUGGGAACUGGAAGAACAACUGCCCAAGAACAACCUAACGGGUGGGCUGCAAGUCGAAGAAAUCUUCGGCAAAUGGGCGAAAAGCCUGAACCGAGCAAAUGCCGCGUGCGGGAAUAAAGGCCUUCGGGUUGUAAACCGCUGUCGUAAAGGAAAAAGGUCUAAUAAAAAAUAAAAUUUAAUCAAUUCUAGGAGGAAGUCGGGGCUAAGUUCGUGCAAGCAGCCGCGGAAAUACAAACCCGAAAAACGUAAUUCGGAAUUAUUGGGCUUAAAGGGUGCGUGGCGGUGCGGAAAGUGCGGUGUAAAAUCCCUCGGCUAAACCGAGGAAUUGCGCUGCAUACUGCCGUGCUGAAGGAAGAAAGAGGUAAGCGGAACUGAUGGUGGAGCGGUAAAAUGCGUUGAUAUCAUCAGGAACACCGGUGGCGAAAGCGGCUUACUGGGUCUCUUCUGACGCUGAGGCACGAAAGCUAGGGUAGCGAACGGGAUUAGAUACCCCGGUAGUCCUAGCCGUAAACGAUGAGCACUUGAUUGAGGGCCCCCCCAUAGGCUCUCGAUCGCAGCGAAAGUGUUAAGUGCUCCGCCUGGGGAGUAUGUUCGCAAGGCUGAAACUCAAAGGAAUUGACGGGGGCUCACACAAGCGGUGGAGGUUGUGGCUUUAAUUUCGAGGUACGCGAAGAACCUUAUCCAGGCCUUGACAUGUACGGAUGCUGCCCUUGAAAGCGGUUUAGUUGCUUUCGGUUGAAACGUGCACAGGUGCUGCAUUGCUUGUCGUCAGCUCGCGUCGUGAGAUGUCGGGUUAAGUCCCUUAACGAGCGAAACCCUUGUCUUUUAGUUGCCAGCGAGUUCAUUGUCGGGGACUCUAAAGAGACUGCCGGUGUUAAACCGGAGGAAGGUUGGGGAUUGACGUCAAGUCCUUCAUUGGCCUUUUAUUGGCCUGGGCUGCACACGUCCUUACAAUUGGCAUUAUUACAAAGGGAUUGCUACCUCGCGAGAGCAAGCAAAUCCCAAAAAGUAUGCCCCAGUUCGGAUUGCAGGCUGCAACUCGCCUGCAUGAAGCCGGAAUCGCUAGUAAUCGUGGAUCAGCAUGCCACGGUGAAUAUGUUCCUGAGCC
rnacentral:rRNA from 1 species